rnacentral:tRNA from 1 species
GUGGGUAUAGCGCAGCUGGUUAGCGCGUCAGAUUGUGGCUCUGAAGGCCCUGGGUUCGAAUCCCAGUAUCCACC